rnacentral:rRNA from 1 species
GGCUCUGAUGCUAUUGCACCACAUGUGUUUUUCUUUGAAACAAACUUGCUUUGGCGGUGGGCCCAGCCUGCCGCCAGAGGUCUAAACUUACAACCAAUUUUUUAUCAACUUGUCACACCAGAUUAUUACUUAAUAGUCAAAACUUUCAACAACGGAUCUCUUGGUUCUCGCAUCGAUGAAGAACGCAGCGAAAUGCGAUACGUAAUAUGAAUUGCAGAUAUUCGUGAAUCAUCGAAUCUUUGAACGCACAUUGCGCCCUCUGGUAUUCCGGAGGGCAUGCCUGUUUGAGCGUCGUUUCUCCCUCAAACCGCUGGGUUUGGUGUUGAGCAAUACGACUUGGGUUUGCUUGAAAGACGGUAGUGGUAAGGCGGGAUCGCUUUGACAAUGGCUUAGGUCUAACCAAAAACAUUGCUUGCGGCGGUAACGUCCACCACGUAUAUCUUCAAACUUUGACCUCAAAUCAGGUAGGACUACCCGCUGAACUUAAGCAUAUCAAAAGGCGGGAGGAA